rnacentral:rRNA from 1 species
GAUGAACGCUAGCUACAGGCUUAACACAUGCAAGUCGAGGGACCGGCGCACGGGUGAGUUACACGUAACCCACCUGCCCUUUAUUCGAUGAUAGCCUUUAGAAAGAAAGAUUAAUACAUGAUAUAAAGGACGGGGAUGCGUUUCAUUAGGUGGUUGGUGAGGUAACGGCCAAGCAAGCGUUCGAUGGUUAGGGGUUCUGAGGGGAAGAUCCACCGCAUGUGAACUAAGCCACGGUCCAAACUCCUAGGGGGGGCAGCGGUAAGGAAUAUUAGUCAAUGGGCGGUAGCCUGAACCAGCCAAGUAGCGUGAAAGAUGAAGGCGUAUGAAUCGUAAACUUCUUAUAUAUAAGAAUAUGUAUUAUAUGAAUAAGGAUCGGCUAACUCCGUGCCAGCCGCCGCGGUAAUUC